AUAACGACUCUCGGCAACGGAUAUCUCGGCUCUCGCAUCCAUGAAGAACGUAGCGAACUGCGAUACUUGGUGUGAAUUGCAGAAUCCCGUGAACCAUCGAGUCUUUGAACGCAAGUUGCGCCCGAAACCUUUGGUCGAGGGCACGUUUGCCUGGGUGUCACA
rnacentral:rRNA from 1 species